ACCGUUUCUUCUCAUGGGGAUCUAGAUAUUCAGAGAAAUAUGUUGCGGAUUUUUACAUAUCAGAUUUUCAGUCAGGAUUGAGAGCAUUAGUGAAGGCAGGCUAUGGAGCUAAGGUUGCUCCAUUUGUCAAACCAGUUACAGUAGUUGAUGUAAAGAAGGAGAAUAGAGAUUUAUCUCCUAGUUUUUUACGCUGGCUAGCUGAUCGCAGCCUCUCCAGUGAUGACCGGAUUAUGCGCCUCAAAGAAGGUUAUGUAAAAGAAGGGAGUACUGUAAGUGUGAUGGGUGUUGUUCAACGCCAUGAUAAUGUGUUGAUGAUAGUUCCACCACAGGAGCCUGUGUCAACAGGCUGUCAAUGGUUCCAAUGCCUACUUCCAACCUAUGUUGAAGGUCUUGUUUUGAUGUGUGAUGACAAUCAAGAUGCUGAUGUGGUUCCUGUGUAGAUAUCUGGUGUAUCACCACAGUUAGGGUUUUGUCUUGAGCUGGAUUUCACAAAGUAAAUAGUGGAAGGGUGGUGAGCAAUGGAUUCAUGAGGCAUCGCUGAACCACAUUCCCUUUUUUUCCAGGUAUUAAAAGUGCAUAUAAAGUGUCCUUGAAGUUCCAGAGCCACUAGACUGAAGAUAUGUAUAAAUGAAGCAUAUUCUAGUGAAAAAGCUUUAAAUAUGCUUUGGAGAUUGUGACGAGUUCACUGCGAAAGAAGCUGGACAAUGUUGUAUCACAAUGGCACUAGGCACUAGGCACUUUGGCUGAUUUUUGUACAUAAGUUGGCAGAGCUGCCCAAAGGGGUUCGGAAAUGGUUGAUUACUUCAAAUGAACUUGAUGUUAGUAUGGUAAGUAAAAUUGUCUGUAUUUAGCGGUAACUUUUGAAGAAUACGUGUCUUUCUUAAUUCUAAUACGUGUAUGCAAUUAUCUCGCC
rnacentral:misc_RNA from 1 species